rnacentral:lncRNA from 1 species
GAGGCCUGGCAGGAGGACACAGCCUGACGAUAUCUGUCAGCGUUUAACAUACACACACCACAUACCCUGGGAGAUGUGAGUGCAUAAAAUAGUAACGGCAGGGGCACAGUGGCCAUCUACGUGAUGUUUACCGGGGGCCAGUCACGAGUCUGACCACUUUUCACCUGGGGACUCACUUCGCCAACCCAACACACACAGUGCACAGCCGGGGCCCCUCCCCGGGGAACAGCAGACACCACAGACCCUC